AACGUAGGUUCCGAGCGUUAUCCGGAUUUACUGGGCGUAAAGCGCGUUCAGGCGGUUUGGCAAGUCGGGCAUGAAAUCUCUCGGCUCAACCGGGAGAGGUUGUCCGAUACUUCCAGACUUGAGGGCAGUAGAGGGUGGUGGAAUUCCGGGUGUAGUGGUGAAAUGCGUAGAUAUCCGGAGGAACACCAGUGGCGAAAGCGGCCACCUGGACUGCACCUGACGCUGACACGCGACAGCAUGGGGAGCGAACGGG
rnacentral:rRNA from 1 species